CCAUCCAUUUCACUUUUUCGGUUGGAGACAGAGGAGACAAGUCUGCGCCAUUUUCUACUUCCCAUGCAGUACUACACGGUAAGUGCAAUUAACUCAAACUUACUGAAACAAUUGUCAAUUGAUGCUGAGAAUUUCAGUAUGAACAAUGAACCAUCUACAGAGAAUAUAUGCCUUACAAAACCGUGUUUGUUGCCAGGUCUGAACAGCAAAUUUGUCCUGGUGAUUAGCUAGCUAGCAGUGUGGUAAGCUAGCUAACAGUUUGUUACUUAAACCAUCUCCAACUUUAUCAAGGAUGAUUUAACAAAGGAAAAACAAAGCGUUAUGUUUUUUUACUGUAUAAAUCUAUAAAAUCUUGUUUGAGGCUGGAGCUAACUUUCUUUUUAACCGUCUCUCCCCCCCCCCUUCACUUUGAACAUCAAAGGGGCCGCAAAAAACAUGUCCCAACAUGCAGACGUGUUUCAUGUGUUUAGUUGUCUGUGUGACCAGUGUACCACUGUAUUUGGUGACCCAUCAGAUUCUAUGACCUGCAGGGUUGGAAAAAGUAUUCAGAUCAUUUACUUAAGUAAAAGUAUAAGUAUUACCAGUUAAUUGUACUGAAAUUACUAAGUUAAAGCUAAAGUACAAAAUUAGCAGAAAAUUGGGCUGUGACUGAUAUAUUAAACAUUUAUUAAACAUUUAAGUGCAUCAUUAAAUACUGAUGAGUCAACGCAUAAGCAGCAUUUUAAUAUCUCAGUCACAGCCCGAUUGUCUGAAAAUUAGUACUUUUUCCAACACUGCAGGUCACAGAAUCUGAUGGGUCACCAAAAAUGGUAUAACACUGUCGACUUAGCUUUAAUUGUUACCGUUUUUCCUUUAAAUGUUUAUUUACUUUGUCAAACUUCCUUGCAUGUCUCAGUCAAAAUGCUGGUCCAGGUGAAGUACAGCCAACAGCAGAAAUAUGUGAAGUUGGAUGAGGAUGAAGGACGGUUUGACUUUAUGCAAUUCCAUGAAAAAGGUUAGCAUGGCUUAGGAAAAAGGUUUUAAACCACACCCAUGUUCUUUUAAAAGCUUAUUGUGCAAGCUCCUUAAUGUUGUCGAUUCUGAUUUCUUUACAUGCCUUUAUCAGACUCUUUUAUACGGUAAAUGGGGUUAAAUUGCUGAACAUUUUCAGUUCUGUAAUGUGUGCUUCAUAGAGUGUAAAGUAUAAUAUACACCGAAACAGUCAAUAAAAAAGCCAAUCAUCAAUUUUUAAAUUUGGACUUAAGAGGGAAUGGGUUAUGUGAGGGAAAAUGCUCUAGGUCUAUUUAAGGAUUAUACAGUGGUGGAUGUAUGUAUUUAACGUGAGCGUGUUAUUGGUUGUGAGGCAAGAAACAGUGACUGACUGUCUGUUUGACUGACUUCAAAGGCACAUUCAGUUUGACCUUACUAUCUUUUCCAGUCAUCGAGAGAUUUUGCCUGCCACCUGAUGCAAAAGUUAUAUACAAGGAUGCAACAGGGACAGAAGUUGAUGCAGAAAUAUUCAGUGACCUCGUUGGACAAGGCAAUGUGGUGCUGACAGUAUUCUCAGAUCAGGGUGAGAUAUCAAGGCAGGUAUAAUAAAGCACUCUACACCUUACAUAAUAUAAUUAUUUGCAUUUUUUCUAUUCCUUUAGAAUUCUCUGAUUUCUCCUUGUCUUCUGCUUCUGAGACGUCUGACUCAAGCUUCAGCUCAAGUGCAUCAACUAUAAUCCUAGAUGAUGUCCCUAGCAAGAGACAAAGAAUUGAGGAUACACGUGAUGCUGUGUCUGCUAAACAGUUGAUUGAAACUGUGCUAAGAGGCAAGUCUGGGGGUGAAGAAGUACUACAGGAGUACCAAACAACAGAAACCCUAACAGACGCUGCAAGAAGAAAAAUGGUUAACAUCCUGGUGGCUCACAUGAUUGACAAUCAUGGGCACCACCCCACUAAAGCAAUCAGAGAAGAUUAUGCACGUGGGAUAGUGAUGUUGUUCCCUUCCCUCAAGGAUCCAUACUCCAAGAAGGGCUAUGUAAUAGGCAUUAUUAUUGUUAACUCUUUCAUGUCAUGUUGUGACACAAAACUGUGUGGACGACAUUGAUAUUUGAAUUCCGUGAGAUUUCUCAUGAGCCUUAUAUGAAAACGCAUUUCUUUUAUUUUUUUCAUUUCAGGAACACUUCUAUUAUGCUGCAAGCAGCACAGGAUACAUUUCUUGGCGUCUGAAAACAGUCCAGAGGAACAUUCGUCGAGGAUCUGCACUGCCACCAAAUAGCCCAAUUGACUUUUCUCCAGGGGGCCCAAAUUUCCAAAGGACUGUUAAUGUUGAAAGGCAGCUUGAUGGUGAUGCUUGCCAAGAGGCCAUGUCUUUGCUCAACCAUACCACAGACAAUUCCCUGAUUUUCCAGAAGAUGAGAGAGACCUUUCAGCACCGUCAGAAGCUUGUUAAUGACCCAGGCAGAAGUGUUGAUAUCCUCUCCAGCUUCCCAAGAUUCCUGGAUACAAAAGGAUUGGUAAGUUUGGGAUGAGAUGUUUAGAAUGGCUUGAAAAUUGAAAGUAUUUCCUGAAGUAGUAGUAGUAGUAGUAGUUUCAUAUCUUCUUUCUUAAAGGUGGACCAAGACUUCACUCUAUUUGAUGACGACACAUCCUCCAGGCUUCUUCAGAAAUGGGAUUUGUUCUUCAAGCCAAAGGUCAUAAAAGAGGCUCACCUCAACACCAGAGCUGCGUCGCUUGGUGCAGUCAGCAGAAUGUCCCCCAGGAAGUGAUCUUGAUGAGGCAACAACCUACGACCAAGAAAUGGCUUCCCUGUUGUUGCUGUUACAUCUCCUUCCACCACCUCCAGGGGGACUGAAGUCUCCAAAAAUGAGUGCAUGUGAUGCAGUUGAGAGACUUGUUGUCUUUCAUAAGUCAUGCUGCAGUUUGGAGGAGCAUCUCCGCAACCAGCAGGGUCGGCAGCUGUACCUCCUCGCUGUUGGGUGUCAGCAGAGCAAGAUUGACAGCUUCUACAUCACAAUGGAUAAGCGCCUCAUCCCAUGCAAGGCAAACCGCUCCCUCGGGGCAUGUGAUGAACUUUUCAAAGCACAUUUUGUGUUUAAUUUGUCUUACGGUGUGGCACUUGUGAAUUUUUACACAUUCCUGCAGACAACAGUGUAUAACAUUGAUGUGGGGAAAAUGAAGGAGUCACCCAGAAUUAAAGACUUGAGAGCGAGACUGCUAAACCAGCCAGUAGCACUCUCACCCUGUGAGUAAGAAGCUAUAACAAUGUUGACCUGUUUCAUGUGUCAGAAAUUUUAUCCCAGCAGUCAAGAGUUGAUUUCACAUUUAAGAGUUGAACAUGGUUACUAUCCUGGACCCAAGUUCAAAUUGUUUUGAGGCUGUAGGCAUCAGUUCCUAACAUAUACAGGUUUUCGGAAGCACCUUAAUAGUGUUCAUAGUAAUGUUCAGCAAAUUGCUCAAACUUCAACUGUUGCAUGUUCAUCUAUUGAGCCAGUUGCAACUUCAUCUCAGGCACAUGCUUUGGAGGACAAAUUUAAUCCACAAAAUCAAUGUAGCUCUUCCAGUGUUUCUUCUGAGAGCAAUGAUUCAGGACUUACUAAAGAUCCAACUAAAGAAAUGUGUGCAUCCAUCGUGGCCAAAUUACAGGGGAGUGGGAUUUCCAACAGUUUGGUAUCCUCAAUUGUUGGAGAUUUGGAAGAACUAACAAGUGAGAUUCGCUCACAAGCAAAGCAUACAGCUAUUUCUGCUUUACCUAUAACUGACCCCAACAUAUCUGUGAUAAAUGAAUCUUUUGAAGAUUAUGAAAACCCCUUCACAAAUCUAAAUACAGAAUGGAAACGAAAUAAAUACUUCCACCAAAAAUGGGGAGUUGUCGAGCCAGUAGAAAUAACACUGGGAGUGAGAUAUGACAACAGGCGAAAUCAGAAAUCCGGUACUUAUGAUCAAGUACCUGUGAAGGAUACUUUUAUAUAUGUGCCGAUUUUAGAAACAUUGAAGUUCAUGUGCAGGAAUCCAGACAUUUGUGUUUUGCUAAAGACAGAGUGUAGAUCAGAGCCUGAUACUUAUACUGACUUUUUUGAUGGAAGUUAUUUUAAAACCCACCCUUUGUUUACAGCUAAUAGACAUGCAUUACAAAUCCAACUAUACUAUGAUGAUUUUGAAACAGCCAAUCCCCUUGGCUCCAAACAUCGAAUUCACAAAAUUGGCUGUCUUUAUUUUGUUGUAAGAAACUUGCCCCCAAAAUUUAAUUCGGUUUUGAUGAACAUUCAUUUGGUAACACUUUUUCACGCACAAGUAUGGUUUUGAUGUUAUACUAGAACCGUUGAUAAAUGAUUUGAAAAAACUAGAAAGUCAAGGGCUAAGUCUUCCAUUUUCAGAUGAGCAGGUAUAUGGUACAAUCUGUCAGAUCACUGGAGAUAAUCUAGGGAUGCACACAAUUCUUGGUUUUAAUGAGUCAUUCAGUAGCCGUCAUUUCUGUCGCCUUUGUUUGAUUGAGAAGAAUGAUUGUCAAACGGUAUACAGUGAGGAUGAUCCUAAGGUGAUCCUUCGUGGGAAAGAUAUGUUUGAAAUGCAUUGCCAGUCUCUCCAGGAAAACCCACAAUUGAAGUCACUUUAUGGUUUGAAAAAAAGAUCUACACUUAAUUCACUGAAGUAUUUCCAUGUUUGUAAUAACUAUUCAUUUGAUAUCAUGCAUGAUCUUCUUGAGGGUGUGGUUCAGUAUGAGAUCAAAUUGCUUUUUGGAUAUCUCACACUACACUUUAUGUCAGAACAGGACUUGCUUUCCAGGAUUUAUGGUUUUGAUUAUGGAUUUUUAGAACGAAAAAAUCGUCCUACAAAGAUUAUUUUGGAGAGUGCUGGCAAUGGCAUUGGUUUGAAUUCUAUUCAGACAUUGUGUCUUGUGAAAAACAUCCCACUAUUGUUUGGUGACAUUAUUCCUGCAGGAAACAAAAAUUUGUUGUUUGUUUGUUGUUGUUACUGUUGUUACUUCAAAUAAUGAACAUAGUUUUUUCACCUUCUCUCACUCUAGGUAUGACAAUAUAUUUAAAGCAGCCAU